rnacentral:rRNA from 1 species
CAAAGGCAUGGUCCUGACCUUACUAUCAGCUCUUACCCAACUUACACAUGCAAGUCUCCGCAGCCCCGUGAGUAUGCCCUUAAUCCCCCACCCGGGGACGAGGAGCGGGCAUCAGGCACAAAUUUUUAGCCCAAGACGCCUGGCCAAGCCACACCCCCAAGGGAAUUCAGCAGUGAUAAACAUUAAGCCAUAAGUGAAAACUUGACUCAGUCAGGGUUAAGAGGGCCGGUAAAACUCGUGCCAGCCACCGCGGUUAAACGAGAGGCCCUAGUUGAUAUUACUACGGCGUAAAGGGUGGUUAAGGAAAGCAUUAUAAUAAAGCCAAAUGGCCCCUUGGCCGUCAUACGCUUCUAGGUGCCCGAAGCCCAACCACACGAAAGUAGCUUUAACAAAGCCCACCUGACCCCACGAAAGCUGAGAAACAAACUGGGAUUAGAUACCCCACUAUGCUCAGCCAUAAACCUAGACAUCCACCUACAAUUAGACGUCCGCCCGGGUACUACGAGCAUUAGCUUGAAACCCAAAGGACCUGACGGUGCCUUAGACCCCCCUAGAGGAGCCUGUUCUAGAACCGAUAACCCCCGUUAAACCUCACCACUUCUAGCCACCCCAGCCUAUAUACCGCCGUCGUCAGCUUACCCUGUGAAGGCAAUAAAAGUAAGCAAAAUGGGCACAACCCAGAACGUCAGGUCGAGGUGUAGCGUACGAAGCGGAAAGAAAUGGGCUACAUUUUCUAUAAUAGAACACUACGGACAUGCAACAUGAAAUAGUGCUUGAAGGAGGAUUUAGUAGUAAAAAGGAAACAGAGUGUCCUUUUGAACCCGGCUCUGAGGCGCGUACACACCGCCCGUCACUCUCCCCUGUCAAAACGCAAAAAAUAUAUUUAAUACCAAAGCACUGACAAGGGGAGGCAAGUCGUAACAUGGUAAGUGUACCGGAAGGUGCACUUGGAUAAAACU